rnacentral:rRNA from 1 species
AUACAGAGGGUGCGAAGCGUUAAUCGGAAUUACUGGGCGUAAAGCGCGCGUAGGUGGUUUGUUAAGUUGGAUGUGAAAGCCCCGGGCUCGAACCUGGGAAUUGCAUCCAAAACUGGCAAGCUAGAGUACGGUAGAGGGUGGUGGAAUUUCCUGUGUAGCGGUGAAAUGCGUAGAUAUAGGAAGGAACACCAGUGGCGAAGGCGACCACCUGGACUGAUACUGACACUGAGGUGCGAAAGCGUGGGGAGC